AAACUGGAUGGGGUCGAUGGGUGAUUAAGAACACCCGGGGCCUAGAUUAGUGGCUUCCAUUGCACUUGGGAGGAGCACUAUUCUACCAUCUCCUCUUGUGGGAGUGGACAUCAUAAUUUUUUAUAGAGGGGGUACGCGUGCGCACGGCCCCUG